AAUCAAAUAUAAUUUUAAAUACAAAUAUUUUUUAAAAAAAAGCGGACUGAUUUAAAGUUUUGAAUAUAAAUUUUGCCUCUAUCGAUCCGAAUCUAAAUUCGACUCUUUGAUUUUGUAUUACAUAAUAUAUAUGAAUAUUUGAUAUUAUAUUUGUACUUGUAUUUUAAAAUUUUAAAUUUCUCUAUAAUAUGUUUUGAAAUCAGGUAAAAAGAAUCAAUUAUUUCAAAAUUGAAUUUCGAGUUUUUGGUCGGGAUCAACUUUGGAUAUGAGUUUUUAAAAUUCCUCGGAUUCAAAUACCAGUUCGGAUUUCAAGUUCGAGUUUAGGUUUUAAAAAAUUCACUCUGAAUCUGACCCAUUGACAUCUCUAAACUGCGAGAUCUGCGGAUCUCAAUGCAAUCCACGUGCCCAUGAUGAUCAAGGGGCAGAAAUUGAAAUGUAAAUUUAGGCCGCAUUUAGUAUCGAGAAAUAUUUAAUAAUAUUAAUACAACAAUUUAAGUUAAAAAUAAAAUAAAUUUGUUUAUUUUUUAAUAAAAGUAUAUUAUAAUCAAAUAAUUAUUAUCUAUAUAGUUCUCCUCAUAUCUAUCUUAGAAUUAUUAUAAAUUUAAAAUUUUAUUUAUUUUUAUUAAUUAUUUUAUUCUGCAGUAUUUUUAUUUUUUUUUCUUUGGUUGGUAUUUGAAUAAUCAACUGUCAUGUAGAAUUAAAAAUUUAAAAUUUGCAAGUCACUAUCAAAAUGAUAACUUUUGGUAGAAGGUGAGAGUAAAAUUUGAAUAGCAAACUGUUUCAUGGCAAAGGCAUUUAUUUCCAAACUAAAUGAGACAAAUGUACAGAAUAUCCAAAAGUAAAAACAAGAGUGAACUCAUACAAAAAGGUUUACAAAGGAAUGGAAAAGGCUUUUUAAAUAAGAAUUGUCUAUUUCAGAGAUAGAUACAAGUUCAGGUAUAAAUUUGGGGUAAACUAAUUUUGCGUUUGGUUGAAAAUUGAGUUAUUUUCGAAAAUAAGAAAAAUAGCGUUUGGAUAGAUAAGAUGGAAUAAUAAGAAUAGUAGAUAAUUUAUAAAUAAAAAAAUAAUGAUAUUACCCUUAUAUUUGUAGUAUCCCUGGUAUUCUGUAGCCUGUGUGAUUUCAGCAUCUGAGACUUGUCGACAGAUCUGGAGAGUGUCGGUACAAGUCCGAGUCGUUUCGGCGCGAAAUAAACUCAAAACGGACUCAGCGUGACGCAAGAGUAGAGUUUUAAUAUUGGAAUCUGCAAAGUGUAGGUUUUCAGUAUUUAGUACUGGUACCACACAAGGGAGUACCGGUACUCCAGUGCUUUUCCAAAGUAGGCUGCUCUCGGAUUGCCCCAUUUGAUGCUGAGUAUCGGUACUGCAUCGGGUGAGUACCGUUACCGAGCCCGAGUACCGAUACUGCAUCGAGUGAGUACCGGUACCGAGUAUGCAAGGCUGCGGGCUGAAUGCCCGAGUAUCGGUAUCCAAGUGGAGUACCGGUACUCCAGUUGGAUUUGUAAGUAGAUGAGGAGCCUUUUGGUCAUUUGAGUUGACGUUAUCUUCAACCUUAUCCCUUACCGCUUCAUAUACAUGUAGAGAGGCAGAGAGUGAGUGUGGUUACUACUUUCUCUCUCUCUCUCUCUAGUUUUUUGAUCGGGUGCUUGGUGGAGAUCGCAGGUUGAGCUCGGAUCGACGUAGAUGUUGCGCCGGGGAGCCGUUCGAGCACGUGGACGUCACGGUUGCGCCGUUGGAGGCCGAGCGAGCGCGUGUUUUCUCUUCUCUCGACUUCUCGCCAUAGUUGGACUAGUUUUUAGAGGUGGGUUGAAGUUUACCGAAAUCGUCGGUUUUCCUCCUAAGCCGGAGUUGACAGUAUGUAUUUUUGGCUUCGCAUAUCAUGUUUAAUAGCUCGAAUUCAUUGAUUCGCAUAUUCUUUAAAAUCUGAAUUUGGAGUAUAAUUAGUGUUUUAGAUGAAUUAUACAUGUUGAAUUUGGAAUUGACUUAGGAAAAAAUUAUUAACCCUACACUGUCAUUUUCUAAAAACUACCAGAUUUCGUUUUAAGAGCUGUAGUUUGUUUGUAUUGUCGCAGUUUGUACGCGGUAGAUAUCCAGAUUAGUGUAGGAUAAGUUUAUGCUUAUACUGGGAUGCCGAGUUUAUUUUUACAGUAGAGUAUAGAUUGUUUAGGUCUGUCGGGUGCUGUCGUGGUUGGCGGUGGACCCAGAUUUCUGUAUUGCAUCAGAUUGUAUCAAGAGCACGUGAGCUUUGGUUGUUAGACCAAUCAGACCUAUUUGCAUGGAUUAUAGCCUGUGAGAGCCUGAUUGAGCUUGUCAAAGACACGCUUGCAUACUCGGUUGGGUAGCGCCCACGAGUGCCACUCCAAAGUCGGGCUUUGUGCGUUCGUGUUGAUGUCGUAGUGUCCAGGUUGGAUUUACUCUUCAUCAACUACCCAGCGUGGUAGUAGUUAGUGUAACUUCGGUAGUCGGGACGUGUGUGUUCACAGUCCCUAGUGAGAUUGGGUCAGAGAUUGUAUCAUGGUUAUAUCUACAGAUAGCUAGUGUUGGGUAGCGGUAGUAUAGUGGCAUAUAGCUGUAGAGUUUGUACCGCCUUCCUUUACUAUCUUCCUGCAUACUUUCUUUAGACUUAGUGAGUGAGCCGUUAAGGUCGGUAGUGACACCCACUGAAAACUAUUUUUUUUACAGUAGUUCUCACACCCAGUUGUUGACCUCUUUUCACAGAGCCUUUUUCUGCGGCUGUUGCUGUCACUGAUACUGAGCAUGGAAAGGGAGUUGCGAGUUAGAUCCUUUUCAGACGAGUUGCAGUGCUAGAGGAGUACCUCCCACAUGUAGGUUUGGAGUAUUUAUGUACAUAUGGUGGUUGUCUGGGUACUUACUGGAGCGAGCGAUGUUGUAGACAUUUUGUAUAUACUUGAACCCCUCGAGGUUUUAUAUAUUUAUGUUUUUCAGUUUAGUAGCUCUUUACCUUGUGAUUGUAACUUGGUUUUGUUUACAGGUACAUCUAUCGCUGAAAAAUUUCUAUAUAUACGGCUGGUCUAUUAGCCUGCCCAAAAAAACGUGUAAUUCGGGACAUGACAAUAUUAUAUUUGAAUUUAAAUUUUUAAUUUUUAUAUUUAAAUUUUUAAAUUUAAAUAUAUAACUUUUAAAUCUCAAAAAAUUUAAAAUUUAAAUUUAAAUUUUAAAAUUUUAAAUUUUAAAAUUCAAAGUUCUAAAUUGUAAAAUUUAAAUUGUAUAUUUAAGAUUAAAUCUAAAUUUAAAAAUCUAAAAUAUCAAAUUUAAAAUUUAAAAAUUUUAAUUGAAAAUUAUAAAAUUUUAAUUUUAAUUUUAAAAUUAUUAAAUUUAAAUUUUUAAAUUUAAAGUUUUUAAAAAAUUAAAUAGGGUUGGGAAUAGUUGUUUCCAUCUCUAUUUUCAUACAAGGGUGGAAUUAGCUAUCUCACUCCAUAUUUUUUUGUGUUUGCAGAAAAGGACUUCAUAACAAUCAGUGUCUUACAAUCUAUAAACUGAGACCAUUAAAAUGUUUGAUGUUUGAUAGAAUCACUUGUCACAUCAAAUUGAUGUUUGAGUUACACAACAGCAGUAGCAACAUUUGUGCAUCAGAUUCAAAACUUCUUGAGAAUUUAUGUUUCUAGCUUCAAUGGAAUCUUCGUGAACAUUUCUUGCGGUAAUGAUGAAAAAGAUUGCUCCAAUGGCUCCAGUUAGGGCUUAUUUGAUACCAAAAAAUUGCCCCGAAAAAAAUCUACCUAGUAGGCAGGUUUACAUUAUAGUAAAAUGAAAACUUUAAAUUGAAGUUUAUAUGACGUAAGCUCUUGUUUAGCUGUGCGCAUAGGAGGCUGGAGUCACGUGUUCGACGCGCGGUUACUUAUUUGCUCUUCUCGUGAGUCAGACAUGCAACUUCUGAUUUACUCCAUUGUCUGAUCAGUAGUUUGCUAUUCUGCGUGUCAGUGAUAUUUCGAUUUGUCAGUUUCUAUACAUAAUCUUUUUUUUACCACAUGAUGCCAAUGAAAGUAGUAAACCUUUUAACCACUAAUACGUACUUUAACUGCACUUAACACCUUUUAGUCGGUAGCGUAUACUACUUUCGCAACAUCAAAUACUUAGCAUUUUACUCUCUCAUCAUCCUCAAUACCGUCCUGUAUGCCCUAGAACGGUGUUGAUCUCGCACAUAAUAAUUAGAGUCCAAAAUGAGAUGGACCAAAAAGUGGAAGUUAAAAAGAAAAAGCGUAUGCAAGCAAAGUUUUUUUUUUUUUUUUUUCCUUUCAAUUUUUAUUUAUUUAUUUAUUUGUUGGGAAAAUGAGAGCAAAAGAAAAGUAAAAUCCAUGAGAACGAGGAACAAAUAACGUGACUCCUCACGUGUCAUUUCCCUCUCUCUCUCUCUCUCUCUCUCUCUCUAUCACACACACACAUACACAUACACAAACACAAACACACACCUCUCCAAGCUCUUAAAAGGCGUCAAAACCCGCUCCCCUUCUCCUCCCACAACCUCAUUUACUCGCCAUUUCUCUUGAGAUUCUCUCAAAACCUCACUCCCCUUCGAUUUGGGCUCGUAGGUUUUGCUCCACAGCAGCUUUGGGCUUCUGCUGCUUCGCAAAGUUGCCUCCUUUGUGAGCGAUCCUUCCUCUGUCGCAGGUCCUCCUCGCCAUUUCCCGAUCCGGGUCCCUGAGAUCUCCUCAAAAUCUUGCUUUUCGUUGAUCUGAGCUCGUGUGUUGUGGGCUUCUGCUGCUUCUCAAAGUUUGGUUCUUUCGAAGUGGUUCGUACAGAGAUUUUUGCGCUGACAUGGGUUUUGGCUUCUGCUUCUUCUCAACUGCAGGUGUAGUAGAGUUGGGGGGGUGAUGGAGCUGAGCUGUGUGCAAUUGAAGGCCAAUUCGUGCGUGGGCCAAGCAAAAGGAAGAGUCUUUAGCAGUGGGGAGAGUGGGAUUUGGGGAGAUGGGUUGGGAGCUGGUUUGGUGAAUAAGCCAUGUGGGGCUAAACUUGGGGGGAGGAGGAGGAGGAGGAGGAUGAGCUUCAGCUGCAGAGCUUGUGUUGGAGUUAGCAGAGCUGGGACUGCAUUGAGUGUUCUCACCUCUGAUGCUGAACAAGAGACUAGGGUAAAUUGAUCCCCCUAUGACCACUCUGUUCUUCCUGUUUUCUACAGAUGAAUCAAUCUUUUUCCAAAUUAAAAAGUUGGUAUUUUGCAGAUUCUUGCUCUUUUUCUUAUUCAUUUCUAUUUUAGUUCAUGCUUGUUAGGUAAGUAGCUUUUCAAAAGUUGCUUCUUUUAGUGCUAUUACCUUAUUAAUUGGAUCUAGGAAUACAUUUUAUGUGUCGAAAGAGAAUCUAGGGGUAUAGAAUAUAUUCUGAAUUUUAGGCCCCUGAUUCAUCGACAGUUUUACAGUACGACAAAUUUUGAAAGAGAAUUUGUGAAGGAAAAAUGAAUGUCUGUGGUGGAUAGCAAGAGCGCUCGAGCUGAUAAGGAAUUUCUUUUUUCUCUUUUGCCCUAGACGUAAUACAGUGUAUUGUAAUCUCUGAAGAACAGUGCAUUCCUUUUUCUAUAGUGAAGUUCUCUCCCCCUUCACCCGUCACCGUGAUGUUUUUUCUGCAAAGGGUUUUCCACGUAAAUCCUUACGUAUUCCAUUUGAUCUCUACGCAUUUCACCGCUCCACCGGAAAUUCCCUCUGCCCCUACCGUACUCCAGCUUGGUAGUUUCCACGUUUGGGCUCAUAACAAAUUAAAAGUUGCUCCUGCUACUCAGCCUAGAGCCUUGAGCAUUGUACAAGGACGUGCUGUAGGAGUAACCCAUUACCUUCUGGGCGGAAUUGCCACUACAUGGGCGUUCUUCUUAGCAAGAAUUAUUGCAGUAGGAUAAUGGCUAGGAGGAUUUGAAAGGCAUUAUGGAAUUAAGAUUUCCGAGGUUUAGCCAAGGCUUAGCUCAGGACCCCUACUGUUUCCAUGAUUUUGUCUACUUUGUGAUCGUCUUCUGUCGUUUCUAUUUGUGCGCUUGUCGUAACAGUGAUUUUGUUUGCAAAUUUUUAAUUGUUUAUCAUUGAUGUGUUUCUUACUAUAGAUGCUAAUGCCGUCUCCGAAUUACAUGUUCAGGUUAUUGAGGCGCCGACGUUGAGAGAUUGGAAGGCUGAUCCGAAGAGUGUUGCUUCCAUCAUACUUGGUGGAGGGCCGGGGAAGCAGCUUUUCCCUCUCACUAGCACAAGAGCUACUCCUGCUGUAAGAAUCCAAAAAAAAGAGAGAGAGAAGGGAUCAAGCUUCCGUUCUAGUUGUAUUUUUAAUGUUGUUACACAUAUCAUUUUAUGAUCGACAUUUUGCAAGUAGAAUUUUAGGAAAAGAUUACAUGAUGAUGUUUCUUUACGUUUGCUUUCGUGUUUUCAUUUGUUUAGCAUCCUUUUGCAGUUUCACUUUCCAAGCGCUAGAACUUUACAUUCUCCAAAUUUUCAGAUUUUUUUUUUUUAAACGACUAAUGAGUAGGUAUUAUCUCUAAGCGCACAAAUGAGCUACUAAUAACUAAAUUUCGUACAAUUCGCAGGUUCCUGUCGGAGGAUGCUACAGGCUUAUCGAUAUUCCGAUGAGCAACUGCAUAAACAGCGGCAUAAAUAAGAUCUUUAUCAUGACCCAGUUCAACUCAGCUUCGCUGAAUCGCCACAUCUUUCGCACUUACAACUUCGGGAAUGGCAUCAACUUCGGGGAUGGAUUUGUUGAGGUGAUUAAAACCUCUCAACUACGAAUCAAACUACUUUGUAGAAAAACGAAUAUUAAUAACCGUUACGUGAAAAAACAGGUUUUGGCCGCCACACAAACACCUGGAGAAGCAGGAAUGAACUGGUUUCAGGGAACAGCAGAUGCCGUGAGAAAAUUUACUUGGGUUUUUGAGGUGGGGAAUUAUCCCUUCACACUAAUCCGAAAAUUUAUUCCUGUGAUUAAAGAUUUUUUACUUCAAUUUGUGCAUUUUGUGCAGGAUAACAAGAACAAGAACAUCGAGCACAUAUUAAUUUUGUACGGAGACCAUCUAUAUCGUAUGGACUACAUGGACUUUAUUCAGGCAUGUUACAACUCAAUUCGUCAGCUUUGAUUAUAUUUUAGUUAUAGUACACGUCAACUUACGGAACUGAUGCAUGAUAUGGACAGAGACAUAUUGAUACCAAUGCUGAUAUUACGGUCUCCUGUGUUCCUGUCGGCGAUAGGUAUAUAUAUACUUUUUUGUUUAAUUCUCACCACUAAUAGAUUGUUUUUUUAAUCCUUUUUUAUAUCUUGUUAUUUCAAAGCCGGGCAUCUGAUUAUGGUUUGAUGAGGAUUGAUAAGUCGGGACGCAUUGUCCAUUUUUCCGAGAAACCCACAGACGCCAAUCUCGAGGCUAUGGUUAGCAGAUAAUCCUCUUAAAUCAUCUUUGCCGUAAAAUCUAAUGCAUCCAUAACACAUUUGAUUUCCUGAAUCAACCAACAUUUGGUUCCCUGCAGAAAGUCGAUACCACUUUUCUCCGGCUCUCUCAUCAAGAUGCUCUCAAAAAUCCCUACAUUGCAUCGAUGGGAGUUUACGUCUUCAAAAGAGACGUCCUUCUAAAGCUCCUGAAGUAAGAAGACGCUUUACUCGCUAUGAGUUUGCUCGUUACGCAGGUCUUUUAAUUCUUUUUUUUUUUUUUUCUAAAAACUUCUGUAGGUGGAAAUAUCCAAAAUCGAAUGACUUUGGAUCGGAAAUCCUUCCUUCAGCUGUACAGGAUUAUAAUGUUCGGGUGCGCUAUAAGAAAUUUAAUCUCGAUGUUAUUUAAUCUUAAGGUUAGUUUAAUACCUUUUUGAGUGUUCGUAUUGUUGUAGGCGUAUCUGUUUAAUGAUUACUGGGAGGACAUUGGGACAAUCAGAUCAUUUUUCGAUGCUAAUUUGUCGCUGACGGAUCAGGUUAAUCUUUACUGUGACAUACAUAUAUGGUUCAUGUUAGUUCUUUUUGGGGAGUUCAUUUGGUAAAUGAAUGUUUGUUCGGUGCGAUAUUCUCUUCCCUUUCUUUUGUUACAGCCUCCGAAGUUCCAGUUCUAUGACCCAAGCACACCCUUCUACACUUCGCCUCGCUUUUUGCCGCCGACCAAAAUAGAGAAGUGCCGGGUUGGUUUUAUGCAUUUUAACAUGUUUUUUUUUUUUUUGGUUGCAGUCUCAUUCUUAAAUUUCUAUGUGCAGGUCAAGGACGCCAUCAUUUCGCAUGGAUGCUUCUUGCGUGAAUGUGGUGUCGACCGCUCCAUUGUUGGAGUGCGCUCGCGCAUCGAUUAUGGCGCCGAGCUCAAGGUGCGCAGCUUUAUUUAGCAUUUUAACCGAGAUUUUCUUAUAUUUUUCUCUCACACUCUGACCACAUCAGGACACCAUGAUGAUGGGUGCUGAUCUCUACGAAACCGAAGCCGAAAUCGCUUCUAUGCUGGCGGAGGGAAGGGUACCCAUGGGUGUAGGGCAAAAUACGAAGAUCAGGUGCGACUACAUAACAUCUCAUUGAUGUGUUAUAUUAUUGCGAUACUAUUUUUUUAUCUCUAAUCUCUUCCUUAAUCCUCUCUCCAGGAACUGCAUCAUCGACAUGAAUGCCAGGAUAGGAAAGAACGUGAUCAUCGCGAACAAAGAUGUGAGUGAACUACUCGCAAUUGUUUCUUUCCUUUUUAUUUGGUUCGUUUCGGCUUUCUAUUUAUGCGUAUUCUCGGAAUAGGGAGUUGAGGAAGCCGAUCGGCCGGAAGAUGGAUUUUACAUCCGAUCGGGGAUCACAAUAGUUCUGAAGAAUGCGACAGUAAGAGACGGAACGAUCGUGUAGAUGUUAUGCUUCGGACAGCUUCGGGUCGGGGCUCAAGAGAAUGGUAGUAAAAGAAGCUUCGAAGAGAGGAAGAUCGCCGCGAUACUACCUUGUGUUAAAGACAAUGUCAGCUGAACUUUCUUUCGCCGUCUGUUCAUAUGUUAGCAGUAAUAAUUUGCUCCAGUAAGCCUAUCCAUGUAUAUGUAAGAUAAGUUGCUAUUGCUUAUUUCCGAACUUGUUAGAUGUCAAAUAAUGUUUUGGGGCAGUUUGCUUAUGUUUUGUAAAUAAGUUUUAAUUAUUAGAGAAUUUUUUUUAUGUUCUUGUGUUUAUAAAUGUGUUGUGUUUGAUCUAUGGAUGGCCUUGUACAAUUAAUUUGGUUCUACUGGAAUUUCAGAAAAGUGUGUAUGUGAAAAACAAGUGGUCUUGUGUAUUUCAUUUAGGGGGCUGUUUGAUUCCUCGAAAAAGUAUGAAAAAAAGCAAGUCAAAAAAAGAGUUCCUUUUCGGAAAAUCUCUUUUUCAGUUUUCGUUUGUUUGGUUUUAUGAAAAAUUAGUUUUUUAGAAAACUGUUUUUUUCGUAUUUUAUAGGAAACUAGUAUUUUCAUUUCUUGGGGAAAAAAAAUUCUGCAGUCGAAAAAUCUUAAACCUUUUGCUCUGAUGGGGAGCUAAAAUAAACUUUCAGGUGUUCAUAUCAAUGCUGCAUUGUCGGCUUCUGAAAAAGCUUCUUUAUUUAAAUGCAGACACCAUGCCUGCAAUUGAAAAAUCCUAAGCUUUUCGCUGCAGUGGAAAGCUAAAAUGAUCUUCAAGACACCAAAAGCAAGAGAGUUACUGACCUUCCAGUAGUGUAAUAACAUCCAAAAACAAAGUCACCAGCAUGAAAUUUGAUAAGCAAUUCGACACCAUUAAGAGAACUUCUCAAACUUUUCAUUCCUGAUCACACCUGUUCAGUUACAAGCAAUUCAUCCAUCACAAGAACUCAAUCCAAACUAAUGUCAAAAUCAUCUGUAUCUUCUUAAGAUACUGAACUGACAUCUUUGUAAAAGUUAAAAGUCACUGCAGAUGCUUGUAGCUCCUAGCAAAAGCAUCUACUUGCUUUCUUGUGACAAGAACAACCACAAACACCCUUCAAUACUAAAAACUCAGCAUAUAAUCACCCUCUCUCUCUCUCUCUCCUGGAUGAAGGAAAAUCAUCUCAAGGAGCCACACUAAACACCAAACUACUAAAACUAAGUUUCACCUUUUAUACCCUCCUCAUACCAUGAGAAAGAUUUUUUUUUUUUUUUAAAAAAAAAACUUUUUAGUUCCUUGUAUCAUUCCCUUUGUUUAGGCUCUUCUCUUGCUUCAUUCUCAUGGCUUUAGCCUUCUUGAUCUUGCGAAUGUUCCUCGCCCUGGCGAACAACUUUCCGAGGUAAUGCAGCCUCCUACACUGCACGGUGAUCACGUUAGUCGUCGACGGGUUUUCUCCCAAGAUAACCUCAUAACCGUCGCGAUACGAGUCCAUUCCUGCUGCCAGAAGUUGCCAGAAAAGCCCCCCUCCGGUCGCCCCACCGGUUCGAGCCGAUUGAUAGAUUUUAGAGUACACUGUACUGAACAAUGAGUCCCUUUCGUUGUUGCUAUAUCCGGGGUCUUUCCACGAUUUCCCGAACUCGGUUACGAGGAGAGGCUUUUUGAGGAUGUUUUGCGCGUCUUGGAUGUGAGUGUUGAGCCAGUUGUCCAGGAAAGAGAGCUGAGUUUGAUCAUUUGUGUUGGAUAACCUGAUCACGGGAUCGAAUUAGCGACAAACAAAAUUGAAAAGAUAUGGACAGUAACUACUGUUACUUUAAAAUGAAUGAAUAAGGAAGAUCUUACCAUUGGUCGGGAUAAGAGUGAACGGUGGCGAAAUCGAUUCCAGAAAUUUGGUUGUUGGCGAUGAAAUCGGUUCCUACUUGGAAGCCUGGAUUGAUUUGGUUCUCAGACGAUGAUGACGGGCCAUAGAAUCCCUCUAAGCCUGCUUCAAGCAAGUGCUUGUUGUCGAUGGACUUCACAUACGGCGCCAUUUCUGAGAUCCAUGACUAAGACGGAAAAAAAAAAAAAAACAUUAAAGAUGUCAAUUUUAUACUCUUGUUAUGGUUUUAUCAUAGAAAAUAUCAAUUUCUUUAGUAGUUAAUGACAAAAGAUUGCCUCUGUUAGAAUCAUUUUUGUAAGUGUUAUGGAUUAAUUUGUUCUUCAGAAUUGCUAUUUUAGGACGACCGUUUAAUGAAUCUCUCCUGCAGCGGAAGCAGAAGCUUCAAAUUUCGAGCUUCUACAUUUGGCCCAGGAAACUCAUUGCAGCUUCUGGACACUGCACAAAUUAGAUGAUCUGAUAUUUUCGUCUGCCAAACAGUUAGUUGCUGCCUCUCGGCAGCAACGAAUUUUGGGCUAAUUCUAUCUUGGUUGGAGCUUUUGUAAUACAAAACUGUUGUUAGGUGUUAACUGUUCAAUGAAUCUCUCCUCUUGAGCUUGUCUAUUGACCCAAGAACCUCAUUUUCAGAUUCGCGAUGCAACAAAAUGGUCCAGGCUUUUUGUUCGCCGAAUGUUUGGUUACUGCGGCAAAUGCAAAAGCUCUUUCCAGAAGCCAAGCCAAACAGGCACGACGAAUCGACAACAAGUUAAUGAAGGUUUAGAGAGUUAAAGGAAAGAUUUUGAACCUGUAUGCACUUUCCUGACAGAUCUGAUUGGCAUCUGGGCUCAUUCAUGAGCUCCCAGGCAAAAAUUGUUGGGUCAUCCUUGUAGGCAACUCCAGUAAUGGUGUUAACUCUUGUGAGCACAGUCUACAUAAAAAACAGAAGAAUAAAAAGUGUUUUUUUAGGAUAAGUAAAAAUUUAUUGAGAUUUGAAAUUUGGACUUUAUAAGGUGAUCUAUUUACGUGUAAAUAGUAUUUGCUAUCAACUUUUUGACCCUUGGAUACUUAGAGUUUACUAUUUGGUAAAAAGUCGCUAGUAGGUAUAGUAUUCACAUACUAUUAAUAAUAUUCUAGCUGAACUCGUGAUAUAUUGAGUCCAGCUACUAUACUAUCGAUAGUAUCAAGUUCUUAGUACUAUCGAGUUUUCUAUCGUUAGAUCUACUUUUUAAUCAUUUCCACUCUUUAAAUUAUGCUAUUCAACCAACCAACCACUUAACUCUAGGGGACCACACAUCCUUUCAUCCAACGGCCGAAAUCUCGAUAGCACCAGACGUUUGGUACUAUCAAUAUAUAGUAUAGUAGCAUAAUUCUAAUAUAUUAUUCCUACUUCAUAGUAGAAGGUUUCAUCACUAAGAAUAUUCUUAUAGGAAUUAAACAUUAAAAUAAGGAUUAAAAAACUAUGGACAUGACAAGGCCUAUAUGAUUUAAACUAACACACUAAGUCAUAGAAUAAGAACACUCCAGGGAUUAAAAUAAUAAAAAAAUAAUAAUUGGAAUUAAUCCAUCAGUGAACUAAAGUCCAACCUCUCCAUCAACAAUGUCAACAAUCCCACCAAAAAUUAUUCAAACAUUCAAAGUAGAAAGUGGGGUAGGACCAGAUUUUAAUAUAUGAGAUUUACAAAUUAAAAUAGAAAUGUUCACUGACCGUCCCUAAAGCAAGUGGCAAAGGUUUUGGUGGUUGGUACCCGAGAUCCCAAGUUCGAAUCCUAGUUGAUUCACAUUUCCAGCUAAGUUUAUUUCUAAAUGAAAUAAACAAAACGGUAGCGCGCUACCUAUCUCUCAGAAAAAAAAAAAAAAGAAGAAAUGUUCUUGCUCUUUAUAAAUCCCUAAACCCUCUUCAUCUGAGAAGAUUCCAAAUCCUUCCAGUAAAUAAAUGUCAUUUAACUCCUUCCAUUUCAUAUUUCCUCUAAAGAUAUUCAGGAAAAGAAAUAUAAUGAAAAAAAUUCCAGAAACCAAAACCAUAAAAUAAAAGGGGGUAAAAAAAAAAAAUCAGAUGCUUGAAACAAGAAUUGUUAAAAACACAAAAUAGGGCCCAAAUCUCAAUAUUUGCUAAAUAUUACUCAAAUACUCAUAUAAAAUGGAGCCAGAAAUAUAUUUAAUAUCGGAAAUGCGUGUUGAGUUAAUAAAUGAGAUAUGUGAUGAAAAUUUAACCCAGGUUUAGAUCAUAACGGCAUUUCUUAGCCCGGGAUGAUCAGACGAUAUGAGACUCACCACACGCUUUCAGCUGGCUAAUCGACUCUAUUACUAAAUGUAACCAUCUGGACCACCGGCAAUAAUAACUCGUUGAGUUCAAAUAACCAUAUCACCUAUUGGAUGUAAAUCUAUUGGUUUUAGUAUUCUUAUUCAUAAUUUCUGUCUUAUUCGAUGUAAGACUAUUGGGGGGUAAUAAAUACUGUAUCACUUAUUGAUCUGAUAGGAAACAGGUCUAGAAAUAUAUUUAAUAGAAAAAGACAGAGUCACCUCUAUUUGGAGGAGUGGAUCUUAUUUCUUACCCUGACAUGGUUCUUGUAGAAGCCCUUAACAACAGGGUUUGUGAAGAACUCAUCAUCAGAUCCAAUGGACUGCCCCUGCUCCCUCCCCCACUGCACAUACUGCUUCUUCCCACCAAAGUUAUCAUAGUUGUUCACCAAGCUCAGAAUGAGCCUGAUCCCAUAUCUCCUUGCUUCAGACACCACAAAAUCCAACCCCUAAAUCCCAAAAAAAGAAGAAGAAGAAGAAGAUCAAAACAUAAACCAAAAAAAUGGUAAAGGAAAGGGGGGAGUGGUGGAAUGAGACCUGGAAUGUCUGCUCAUUGUAAGACCCAGGGGAGUACUGCAGUGCUGAGCUGCUGCUGCUGCCCCCAUCACUGAAAGCCCAGGUCCUGCCCACAGACAGCCCAUGGGCUGAGGCUUGCUGGAAAGCAGAUGAGACCUUCCCCCUCUGGGAGGGGUCUGAGGCCACAGUCAUGAGCCAGUAUGCAUUGAACCCAUUUGCAUAGAAUGGGUCCCCAUUGACCACAAACUGCACCCCAUUGGUCCUGAUGAACCCAUUCCCUGCAGCCUCUGCUGCAUCAUGGUUCCUCAGGCUCAGUGUUAGGAAGAGGAGAGGGAGUAAGAGGCUAAAAACUGGUUUUCUCAUCAUCAUCAUCAUCAUCUUCUUCUUCUUCUUCUUCUUCUUGUUCUCUUCUUCCUAUGGCCUGAGUUUUGUUUGCCUCCUCUGUUGCUGAGACACACAAUGGUGAGAGGGAGGGGGGGUUGGCACAUUGAGGAAGGAGAGGUUGGCUUUAAUUAUAUAGAGAGAGAAGAGGGUAGAGAGAGAGAGAGAGAGAGAGAGAGAGAGAGUGUGCAUGUGACUUAACAGUGCAACUGCCAUGUAAAUAACUGUGGGGCUCAACUGUGUCAGUAACUUUUGGUAAAUCACACUUCUAUAGCAUUUAAAACUAUUAAGAUGUUUGAUAUUUUGAUCUUUCAAACUCUUUGAAUUAUUGCAGUUAAGUUUAUAAUUUAAUUUAGUUAGCGAAAUAUUAUUGAUGUAGAACUGAUACAAAAGUGUUGUGAUUAAUGAUGUAAUAAUAAUUAGAAUAUUUUGUCACUUUUAUAUUAAUAACUUAUCAAUAUUUAGACAAUUAAAUUGGACUGCGAGACUUGCUUGUAAUAAUUUUGAAAGUUCGACUCAGAAACUGUAAUAAAUUAAAUUUUGAAAACCAAGAGUGUAAUUUACCCAUGCCUUUGUUACCUUUUUUAUGUGGGACCACCGAGGCAGUAACAUUACUCUUCUUCACUUCAUAAAAGGAAAAAUCUAACUCCUCUAAGAUUAUACUUAUGGGCCUAUCAGACUGUCUCGAGUACAGACGUGAGGGCGAGUGUUGAAUAUUGAAAAUAUCAUUCUUUGACAGUUUAAAUUAUUGAAAAAUAAUAAUUGUUUCACAUAACUUAAUAUGGUUUUCUUUCUUAUCUUCUUCCUUAGCUAGAUUAGUUUUACUUUGUACGUCAAGGCAAAGCACAUAUGCCAUUAGACCGAAUAUUUUGAGGGCUAGGGAUGAUUCUUUGCCUCUUAACUAAGUUUGGAAUGCAUUUAUUCACAUUAAAAUUAUUUUAAAAAUCUCACCUUUGUGCCUUUCCUUUUCUUGAAUACUCAUGUAUUUAGAUAACUUUAUCCUUAAAACAAAAAGAAAAUUGGGUACUAGAGAACAAAAGAAGAACCAAUACACAUCAAAUUAAAUUGAAGUGAAAUAAAAGUGGAAAAAAGAUUCAAAGAGAGGCAAUAUUGAAAUGAAUUGUUACUAAAUGCAUUAACUUGAUCUACCAAAUGAAUCAAUAACCUGAUGGAGUUAAUGCAUGUCCUUCAAUAUUCAUUUACACUAGAAAAGUACACCACAAAAUAUUUGUUAAAAAUUGGAUUGAACAAAAAGUGAGUAGUCCUCUUGAUUUGUAUUCACUCACCUAACAAUAAUUGCAAUGCUGGUCCAAACCACCAGCUCUUUCAAUGUAACUCCAACUACAAAAUCAAGCCAUAAAAGUAAUAAAAACUAGUGUAUCUUCCUACUAUGAUGUCCUCACAAAUACUAGAAAGUUAUAGGGAGCAAAAGCAAAGGUGAAGUAAUGGCUAAGUUACAUGAAAUAUCCAUGAACUCUCAUCUCCAUCUCUAGUACACUUUAUGCUUUGUGUUGUCUCAAUUAUAACCUUAUAUAUGUUAUGUUGAAUAUAAAGAUUAAAAAUAUUAUUUUCUAUUCACUUAAAAUUUUGGAGAAUAACGGUUGUAUAUGUUAUUAUUUAACAUAAAAAUCAGAGUAGAAUGUCUUAAGUUUAACUCUCGCUAAGCUCACAUCUUGAGCCUAUAAAAAAUCUCGAGUCUAGACGUACAUAAGAGGAAGUGUCGAAUAUAAAUAGAAAAUAGCGUAUCCCAAUAGGAGAAUAACCUUAAUCUCAUCAAAUUUUGCAAUCAAUUUAGUAGUUAAUUAUUCUGAAUUUAUUAAUCGAAUCGUACGUAACUGAGUAGAACGCAAUGCUAACAUUGCAACAAUUAAAAAUGUAGGAAGUUAACUUCAAGGAGUGAAGAGUGCAAAAUAAAUUUUGUAUUUAAGCCUAAAAUAAUUUCUUUAAUUGCUCAGAUGCUCUGAUCCGAACACUGUAUUUGAAAUGUCAGAAAAAAAAAAUAAAGUUAAAGAAAAAUUAAAAAUGAAAAUCGAGUUAAUCUAACAAAGAAUUUUUUGAACAAACGACAAACUCUCUCUCUCUGGAUUCUCCUCAUGACAUUUCACUUUCAAAUUACACUCAAAUUAUAAAAAAGAUUAAGGACAAAAUAGAGAGUAAUAAUUUUUUCUUUUUUUUGGUUUCUUGAAGCAUGAUCUUGUUCAUUUUAUAGAUUUAAUAGCAAGAGCAUGAGGAGUGCAACUCAAGUACAACAAAUUAUNAUAGAUAUAGCACAUUAUCAUCUUAGAUCUUGCCAUUAUCUUUGUUCAUUUUAUAGAUUUAAUAGCAAGAGCAUGAGGAGUGCAACUCAAGUACAACAAAUUAUUCUUCUCAGUGAUUAAAAAAAAUACAAUAUACUAUAUCAUUCCAAACUUGGCAAAAGAACAAAGAUAAUGGCAAGAUCUAAGAUGAUAAUGUGCUAUAUCUAUUGCAUGUGGAGUCACAUGAUGUGGUUGGAGAUGUAACAACAAACAAAAAGAAAUUAAAUAAUUAUAUUAUAAUAAUUCAAUGACCUAGGUACAUAUUAGGAUAUAUGUUGACAUAGGUCUCUGUGAAAAUCAACAAUAUCUAAGAAAUUAUUUGACCUGGCUUUCAGAAAAACUCAUUUACUAAUAACGUAAAAUAUUUAUUUGAAAUGUUCACUUUGGAUAAUCUAGCAUAAAACAUUGUAUUUGUAGGGAAAAAAAGAAAUUAUGAACUUAUUUUGCGCGCAUUCGCCAAACCAAUCCAAAAACAAUUGAUAGGUCGAUGGCUCGAAUCUUUUUGAUUUUACCGCAAUUUUUGAGUUCCUUUUUUUGGGAAUGGAAUUCUAGCUAGUAUGGUGAAAUUUUGAUAGUUGGUUGUCGUAAAGUUCAUUGUAAAUUAAGUUAGUUAUAAUUUUAUUUUUUACCUAUAAUAUAAUUUUCGGUCCAAUUUCCCUUGAAUUACUUUUUUUUUUUUUUCAGAAACUCAACUUUAGAGGACGUUUGGUUCAACGGAAAACGAACUGAAAAAUUAUUUCCGGUACGAAAAAUACUUUUCUCUUGUUUGGUUUGACAUAAAAAUAUUGUUUUGUAAAAUUAUUUUUUAUAGAUUUGGAUCUCAUUUUUAUUUAUUUUUUCGGCAGAAAACGAAAACUUUGUGUAAAAUUUUUCAAGUUAUUUCCACUGAACCAAAUAAACGUAAAUUUUUUUCUUUCAACUAAAUAAAUAUCGAUAAAAAAUUAUUUUUUUAUAUAAAUCAAAUACUAUAAAAUGUAAAAAAACAAAAUUAAUAAAUAAUUUUUAUAUAAUUUUACGUUGAACCAAUCAGGUGGGAAGAGACGGCACGCUUAACCAAUACAGGCCCGGCCAAUCACAGGACGGUUGUUAUGCGUCCUUCUCACCCAACCACGUGUCAAAUAUCUAAGCCUCCACGUGUUGCGGUGGUGGUGGUGGUGGGCCCCACAGAUUCGGAGCCUCUGCACCAUCUUUAUCGUUUCUUUUUUUUUUUAAGGGAAAACUUCAAAAACCCCCCGUAGUUUCGUGCAUUCUCACUUUACUACCCUGUGGUUUAAAACGUAUCAAUUUACCCCCUGUGGUUUCAUUUUUAUCUUUUCGGAAACUUUUUCGUUAAUAUUUCGUUAAAUUAUAUACAAAAAACUUCAGAUAACCAUCUAUAUUUAUCGAAUAGUCACUUUAGUAUCCUUUAAUUUUAACUUUGUCACUGAUUUUAAAAAAAAAUAAUAAUAAAAUUGAUAAUAAAAAGAUAAAAACGAAACCACAGGGGGGCAAAUUGAUACGUUUUAAACCACAGGGUAGCAAAGUGAGAAUGCACGAAAUCACAGGGGGGUUUUUGAAGUUUUCCCUUUUUUUAACGUUCCCGAGCCAAUCGAGAACAGCGCAAAGAUCCGUGGUCCACUGGAUGCACGCCACGUGGCACAGAAACGGUGGGAUCAACUCCCAAUGCACGGGUGCUACUGCGUGCACGUGAUGCGCCGACGUAGAAAAUUGUUGCGUGCACCGGGUGUAUUCCUACACACGUCUCCGCAAUCUGUGUUAUAUCUGGGCCAAGAGGUGUGGAUGACGUAAGAGAGAGAAGCGCGGCAUCGACUUAGGGGCGGUGUGGGAAUAGAAAUGUUUCAUUUAUCUUUACAGAUUUAGUUAGUAAAUUUUACAUUUUGCAACUAUAAAUUUAUUAAAAUAAGUAAUUAACUUAAAGUUUGAAGUAAACGUAUCAUUAAUUAGCUCAACUUAAAUAAAUUGUAAGGUUGAAUAUUAAAAUCAAAAUUUUAAAAGAUCGAAUAGUCGAGUCAAAAUAAUUUAUAGUUCAGAUAAAUUUUACAUAUUUGUACUAUUUUUUUAAUAUUUUUUAACAUUGUACGUGGGCUCCAUAACCUCUUCUCAUCCCAUAUUAAGUUAUCGGUAAUGUCCGAAACUAAUAGAAGAUCAAAUUCCAUAAAUAUAUACCUGUGGAGUUUGAAUCCUCCGGGCAGUUCUUAAAAAUAAAAACCUCAAACUCAAUUGAAUUAUAAAGAGGUUGGAGCUUUAAUUCAUCAAAUAAGUCUUUUUUGAAGUUUUUAUAUUAGAUUGUGUUGGAUAUAAUAAAUUUUUUAUUUUUGAAAUAUCGAAAAUCUGUGCAAGAAGUAAUUCCGCCGCAUCUGCAGCGAAUUACGCAAGGGAAUACCACUUGAAAUUAUUUUUAAAAUUAAUACCGUAUAUUUUUUAAAGUUCGAAUAUAGAGGACAUAUAAAUUAUGAAAAAAUAGCAAAUAAUUUACUGUUUGUUAAAUUAAUAAUAGAAAAAAAAAAUUAGGCUAUUACCAAAACAAAUCCUUCAUCGCCAAUCACAGGGCGGUGGUUAUGCGUCCUUCUCAGCCAACCACGUGUCGAAUUUUUGCCCCUCCCCAUGUGGUGCUGGGCCCCACCUUCUGAGCCUCUGCAUUAUCUCUAUCGUUUUCCUUUUCCCGUUCCCGAGCCAAUGGCCCAAUAGAUGCACGCCACGUUGGAAAGCAGCGGUGGGACCAACUCCCAAUGCCACGUGUCCUAAGGGGUGCACGUGGUGCGCGGACCAGAAAAAAAUAUCGCGUGCACCGGGUGUAUGAAAUAUACCAAUCAAUUUUGAAGUUAAUUUUUAUUUGGUGUAAAAUACGUGCAUAUUUUAUUUUUUCUAAUUAACAUUGAUUGACUUUGAUCUGAAUAAUUAACAUUAGCAUAUUAUAGAUGCAAGUGCCGGAUGUGAACAGGAUGUGCGUACGUGGCAAAAUUAGUGUAGCGCGCACGUCAGACUAAUUAAUACAAGAUGCCGUGUGGUGGUAUGGAAGGGGAGAGAGAGGCGGUCUCGCAUCCAACGUCGCGAUAAAUGUCAGCAGCGGAGCAGAGUUUCUCGACCAAUUAUGUAAGCAGUUCGGAUUUUUCGAAACAACAACGUCGGGAUAAAUGUCGGUAGCAGAGCAGACUUUGUCGACCGGUUAUAUAAGCAAAACAAUGACAUAAAAGAUUCAGAUUUAGUCUUUUUAACUAGCUACUAUUUUACAAAAAGCUCUUUCUAAUUAUAUUUAUUUUGAAAUUUCGUUGAAAUAAGAGAAAGGUAGGAUAAAGAUAGGAUAAGGUGGUGUAAGUUUGAACCUUUUUUUUGAGAGAGAGAGAAAGAUAACACACUAUCCGUUUCAUUUAUUUGGAAAAUAAAUUUAGCUACUAAGCUUGUACUUUUAUUUUUUUCAUACAGUGAAAUAUAUUUCUCUCGCUCUUUCGUAGUAAGCAAUUGCAGACCACAUAAAUUAAUCUUGAUUUAUUUAUUUUAUAUUUAUUUUUUUUAUCAUUCGAUUUUUGCUAUUUUUCGUGCAUUUGUGCUGGUAGCAUAUGAAGGACAAUUUAUUCAGUUGCCGGCAGCUAGCAACCUUUCAAAAUUUUAAUUUUAAUAUCCAAUCUUUCAGUUUAUUUGAUCUAAGUCAGUCAAUAAUAUUUUAACUUCAAAAUUUUAUAGUAUUUUUUUAAAAAAUUUGCAGGUUUAGUUAAUAUAUUUAAUAUAAUUUUCAUAAUUAUAAAUUUAUUAAUAUAAGUAAUUAAUUUAAAUUUUAAAGUAAAAGUAUCGUGUUAACUGACUUAAUUAAAUGGUUGGAUGUUAAAAUCAAAAUUUUAAAAGAUUGAAUACUAAAAUCAAAAUAAUUUAUAAUUUUGAUAAAUUUUAUUUUAUUUUUACCCUUUUUUCCAUGUUUUUUGACAUUGCACGUGGGCUCCGUCACCCCUACUCACCCCAUAUUAAGUUAUAAUUGAUGUCUGAAACGAAUAGAAGAUCAAAUUUCGUAAAUAUAUACGUGUGGAGUUUGAAUCCUCCCGGUAGUUCUUAAAAAUAAGAACCUCAAUCUCAAUUCAAUUAUAGUAUUUGUUUAAUAAUAUUUAAAAGAUUUAUGCUAUUUCAAGAGGUUGGAUGUUCAAUUCAUCAAAAUAGCCUUUUUUGCACACAAUUUUUUUGUAAAUUAGAUUUUGUUUCUUUGUGCGUAUUUGAUUUUCAGUAAUACUGGAAGUUUAUAUAUUAGAUUGUAUGAGAUACAAUAGUUUUCUAUUUUUAUAAAAUUAAAAAUCUCUGCACAAAAUUAUUCUGUCCCACAUUUAUAACAAGAUAAACAUUCACGCCAUUGAAUUUCAAAAUAUUCGAUACAUUCCAACUAUAGAUGUCGAGCAGGAUCACACAACGGCUACCAUCCAGCAUUGCGUCUUUCACUAAAUUUCUUGUCGAACUCCACGAGUCCCAACAAAUAACCCCUCUUUUGGCCCGCAAUAAUAGAUCCAAAAAGACUAAUAAGUUGAAUUGGAUGAGCCUAAUAAGUAAAAUGAGAGUGCGGCCCACAAUAGGCCUAACGAUAAGAGACCCAAUAGUAGACCUAACAUUCAUGUUGGUUGAGUCAAAUCGAAAUCCAUGAACACUAUAACUGAACCUUUCAAGUGCGAUGGAUGCGUCCUUACUAUCAUUUUUUUAGAGAAAAUAAUAACAUGCUAUCUGCUUCGUUUAUUAUUUUAAAAAUAAACUUAGUUGAAAAUAUAAAUCAACUAGAAUUCGAACAUGGGACCUCGAAUACCAACUACCAAACCCUUUACCACUUGCACUAGGGACAGUCGGUGCGUCCUUACUAUCAUUAUUUGUUUUUUAAGAUAGUUAGUUAACGCGUAUGAUUCAUAAAAAAUUUUUUACGAUAACAAACAACUGCACGGUGUGAAAACUCGUCCAAAUAUAUAUUCUUUCCCCGGCGUUAGUUCUGACGACUCGCAUACGCCAACAACCAUACCGACUGCUCGUUCUGUUCAACUUCAUUACCUUAUCGGGCCCAUCAUGCGUUCUAAAUGUACGGUGAAAUCACUUGGUGCGCAGAAAAGUUUCUAGAUUCUAGAUUUGUUGUUGAGACAUGAUGAUGGUAUACAGGAUACAGGCAAUGAUAAUUUCCCAGCUCUGAAAGUCGUGCCCACUAAUCGAUGUGUGGGUCCCUCCUGCUUUUGGGGUUUCCGACGUGGGUCCGACAGUUUGGUGUGGUUGGCGUUCGGUUUCUUGGGCAACGUAAAAACGGUGGGCCCACGGAGUCCACGAUACCCUUCCGUGCGUCGGUGCCGAUUUGGGAAAUGGAAACAUUAAUUAUUAAUUAAUGAGUAAACUUAGAAUACCAUUUAUUUGUGGGGCAAAAAUUAUAUGAGUAUCGUCCUCCAAACUAACCAACUAUCAGUUUGGGGAUGAUGCCGAUGGGCGCCGCGUAGUCCAUCCUCACCCUCCAUUCCUCUCCAUCACCUUUUCCUCUCUCUUUCUGAAAAAAUCACGCCGACAAAAUUUUUUUUCCCUUUUCUCCCGUUUUCGGCCGUGCGAUGGGUGUGCGCGGACCACACGGCGCCCAGCGGCAUCAUCCCCAAAUUGAUAAUUGGGGACGACGCCCAUACAAUUUUUGUCUUUAUUUAUGUGGUUUCGUAUUUUCUCACUUUAGCAUCUUGUAGUUUAAAGUGUAUCAAUUUAGUACCCUGUGAUUUUAUUUUUCUCUUUUCGUCAGCUUCAUCGUUAAUAUUUCGUUAAAUUAUAUAAAAAAAUCACUUCACAUACCCCACCUAAGUUUAUCGAAUAUUCACUUUAGUUUCUUUUCGUUUUAACUUUAUCACUGAUUUAACGAAAAGAAUUAGUGAAGAGAAUAAUAAAAAGAGAAAAAUAAAAUUACGGGGUAUUAAAUUGACACAUUUUAAACCACAGGGUAUUUAAAUAAAAAAAUGCGAAACCACAGAGGUGAUAUUUAAAAUUUUUUCUUAAUUAAUUAAUAUAUAUUUAUAAUAAAAUAAAGUAAAAUAAAAAUAUAAAACAUACAAUACUUACUAUCUAUUUUUUUAAUUUAUUUAAUUUAGAUUAGUCAGUAGUACUUUAAUUUGUUAAUCUAAAUUAAUUAUUUAUUUUAAUCAUAAAUAUAUAGUUACGAAAAUGGUAUGAAAUAUACUAACUAAACCUGAAAAGGCAAACGGCAUAUUUAAAUUUUAAAAUUAAAGUACUAUUGUUUGACUCAAAUUAAACAGAUUCAAGUAAUAAAAUUAAUAUUUCAAAGAUUGGAUAGGCUGUUUAAAAUGAUUUCUAAUUAAGAUAAAUUAUGUAUAUUUUUAUCUUGAAUAAAUUAUUGUGGGUUUCAUAAAUAGAAUUUGUGUCUCUAACUUUUUGAGUUUAUUAUUAUUGCUUAUAUACAUUUAUAUGGAAACAAAAAAAAAAAAAAACAGAAGAAGAAUGAGGGGUGAUUGAGAUUAGCUUUUUUUUUUCCUUUAAAAAUCUAGGUAAGUCGCAAUGUAUGCACUUAUNACAUUAAUUAUUAAUUAACGAGUAAACCUCCAAUACCAUUUAUUUGUGGGGGCAAAAAUCAAUGAGUCUUGUCCUCCAAACUAACAAACUAUCAGUUUGGGGAUGAUGCAGAUGGGCGCCGCGUAGCCCAUCCUCACCCUCCAUUCCUCUCCAUCACCUUUUUCUCUCUCUUUCUAAAAAAAUCACGCCGACAAAAUUUUUUUUUCCCUUUUCUCCCGUUUUCGGCCGUGCGAUGGGUGUGCGCGGACCACACGGCGCCCAUCGGCAUCAUCCCCAAAUUGAUAAUUUGGGGACCACGCCCAUACAAUUUUUGUCCUUAUUUAUGUGGUUUCGUACUUUCUCACUUUACCAUUUUUGUAGUUUAAAGUGUAUCAAUUUAGUACCCUGUGAUUUUAUUUUUCUCUUUUCGUCAGCUCUAUCGUUAACAUUUCGUUAAAUUAUAUAAAAAAACCCUUCAAAUACCUCACCUAAGUUUAUCGAAUAUUCACUUUAGUAUCCUUUAAUUUUAACUUUGUCGCUGAUUUAACAAAAAAAAAAUAAUAAACUUCAAAUAUCACUCUUGCGGUCUCGCACUUUCUCACUUUAGUACCCUGGGGUUUGAACUGUAUCAAAAUAGUACCCUGUGAUUUAAAGUGUUCUCAAUCACUCUUUAAGCCCAUAGAAAGCCGAAGCCGGACGGACCACAAAUGAGUACAUGACCCAACAUCAUCAUUGUAGAACAUGAUUUGAAAAUAACAUUGAUUAAUAAAGGCAAAAACGUAGGAAUAAGAAGGGAAUAUGAAUAAUUGGAACUCAACGAGUUGCAGAGAGAAUGUCUUGGGUAAACUUCAAAUAUCACUCUUGCGGUCUCGCACUUUCUCACUUUAGUACCCUGGGGUUUGAACUGUAUCAAAAUAGUACCCUGUGAUUUAAAGUGUUCUCAAUCACUCUUUAAGCCCAUAGAAAGCCGAAGCCGGACGGACCACAAAUGAGUACAUGACCCAACAUCAUCAUUGUAGAACAUGAUUUGAAAAUAACAUUGAUUAAUAAAGGCAAAAACGUAGGAAUAAGAAGGGAAUAUGAAUAAUUGGAACUCAACGAGUUGCAGAGAGAAUGUCUUGGGUAAACUUCAAAUAUCACUCUUGCGGUCUCGCACUUUCUCACUUUAGUACCCUGGGGUUUGAACUGUAUCAAAAUAGUACCCUGUGAUUUAAAGUGUUCUCAAUCACUCUUUAAGCCCAUAGAAAGCCGAAGCCGGACGGACCACAAAUGAGUACAUGACCCAACAUCAUCAUUGUAGAACAUGAUUUGAAAAUAACAUUGAUUAAUAAAGGCAAAAACGUAGGAAUAAGAAGGGAAUAUGAAUAAUUGGAACUCAACGAGUUGCAGAGAGAAUGUCUUGGGUAAACUUCAAAUAUCACUCUUGCGGUCUCGCACUUUCUCACUUUAGUACCCUGGGGUUUGAACUGUAUCAAAAUAGUACCCUGUGAUUUAAAGUGUUCUCAAUCACUCUUUAAGCCCAUAGAAAGCCGAAGCCGGACGGACCACAAAUGAGUACAUGACCCAACAUCAUCAUUGUAGAACAUGAUUUGAAAAUAACAUUGAUUAAUAAAGGCAAAAACGUAGGAAUAAGAAGGGAAUAUGAAUAAUUGGAACUCAACGAGUUGCAGAGAGAAUGUCUUGGGUAAACUUCAAAUAUCACUCUUGCGGUCUCGCACUUUCUCACUUUAGUACCCUGGGGUUUGAACUGUAUCAAAAUAGUACCCUGUGAUUUUAUUUUUCUCUUUUCGUCAGCUUCAUCGUUAAUAUUUCGUUAAAUUCAAAUCUAUAAUUUAUUCUAGAAUUAAUUAUAAAUUAAUAUUUAAAUUUAAAUAUUAAUUUAUAAUUAAUUCUAGAAUAAAUUAUAGAUUUGAAUUUAACGAAAUAUUAACAGAAGAGCCGAUGAAAAGAGAAAAAUGAAACCAUAGGGUACUAACUUGAUAUACUUUAAACCACAGGGUGUGCAAAACUACAUAAAUGGUAUUUGAAGUUUAUCCAAAAAAAAAAAAAGGAAUACAGCAAAGUUUAAGGUGGGAUUGCGCUUAGGAAUUAUGUUAAGGUGGACUCUUAUCUUGUUCUCACACNUUAGCUGGAUGGCAAAAUCCUUGGAGUGAUCGUACUCAACUAAAUAACUUAUAUUUCAAUUAGCUGGAUGGCAAAAUCCUUGGAGCGAUCGCACUCAACUAAAAAACUUAUAUUUCUAUUUUUGCUAAACUUAAUUUAUCGUUGAAUUAUAACGAGGCCAAACGAAAUGCCCUCUCAAUUUAACAAUAGCUAGACCAUGUUCACAAAUAGCAUCUACGUGGCAAGAACGAAAAAUCUAGAAUUUAACGAACAGAAGAUCUGCAUUGAUUGGUACUUUCGUUACAGCUGUAACUAGAAAAUAAAUAUAGAAUCUUAUAAGGACUUUUGUUUAUUUAUUUCUGCCUAUUAUUCAAAAUUUUUAAUUUUAUUUUAAAAUUAUUAAAAUAUUCUCCUAAACUUAAAUUCUAUUUUAGUAAACUCUACACAGGUUUGAAAAUAUUUGCAGAAUUUUAAUUUAUCAAAAAUAAGAUAUUUUUAAAAUUUUAAAGAAUAUAUUAUAUGUUAUUUUAUGUUUUCUUAAUAAGAGUUUGGAUUUCGAAAUUUAGCUAAAGCUACAGAGAGUUAGCUACAGAAAAAAAAAAAAACUGUCAAAAUACUUUUUCGUACAGUUCUUUUCAUCGAUAAGUGUGCCUCACCAUACUGUGUAAAUUUACCAUUAUACCCGUGGAAUUUUGAGUGAGGUGCAUUUUAAAAGGGUAGUACACUUAUUAGGGGUGUUCACCAAUCACUUUCCAUAUAAUUUUUUUUUUCAGGGAACUAAAUUUGUGGCACCGAAUGCGGAGUCCACAACUUAAUUAGAAGAGCAAAUCACGCUUGUUGAUUCUAACAAAAGUUGGCGUGCAAUUAAUUACUUAUAUUAUAUACUGAGUUGCACAAAAGUGCCCUUCAAACUAGUGCUUCUCCAACAAGCACUUUUUCAAAGAGAAAUAAGACAACGUUUGGAAUUACGGAAAGAUUAUGUUACGUAUAAUGAGAAAGUACGAUGGCAAUAAAAAAAUAUCUUAUUUUUUUUUCCGUCGUACGUAAUAUUAUGUUCCGCAUAUUACAAUGAGUCAGUUAGAUAUAUUUUCUACGGUUUCAUCGGAGAACGUAGAAGCAUAUUCUUAUAUACUUUUAUCCCAAUUUCAUUUUACCUAAUAGUGUCAUAUGGGCCUCAAUACCAAACUAAGGCUUCGUUUGGGAUUGCAGGGAGAUUGCGUUACUUGCGAUGAGAAAGUACAUAAUAUUGCGUUCCGCAUAUCGCGAUUAGUCGGUUACGAUAUAUUUUUUGCGGGCCCACCGGAGAACGCAGAAGUAUAUUUCUAUAUGUUUUUACCCUAACUCCAUUUUAUUUAAUUGCUUUAGAUAUAUUUCAAUAUGAAACCAAGCCUAAGCCUAAAAAAAGAAAGAUGCUUCAUCCCAUGAGAUCUGAUUUUUCUUUUUUUAAAAGAAAAAAUCUCAUUCUUCCUCCCCAUGAUACUCAGUAAUUUUUAUUAAAUUAAUUUUUUCGAGUAAUAUGAUAUCAAAGUCAAUUCUA
rnacentral:lncRNA from 1 species